rnacentral:lncRNA from 1 species
AUGUGGUUUGCAGGUGGUGCUUUUGCAGGAGGUGAGAAACCUGGCACUGCGCAGAGGCUUGCGCGCAGCCUGCCUCCUCUUGCGUUGGCCGCAGAUGCCAGCAGCGAUGAGUCGGGCUGGAGAGAGCGGGACAACACACUGGGGCUGAGCAUGGCUUUUGUCCUGUCCUGCGCUGUGCUUGUGCUCCUGCUGCCGCUGGCUUUUCCCCAAGAGGCUCUCAGAUGUCGUGAGAGCAAAGUAAUUCUUGUAACCAAGGGGGAGCCCAUCUCGAUCGUGUGUCCUUUCCAUGAACGCUGCAGCACUGACAAUACCUUCUAUGAGAUCAUCUGGAGCUAUGAGAAAGACUUGAGAAGGAUCCUGCAGUUUAGGACGACACCUCCUAAUAAAACCUCUGUUAUGUUACGCAAGGAAGGUCACUUUGGAGGUCAGCAACUCAGCUCAGCUUCCGAGGGCCUCCACUGCUCUGCACCUCCAGGCAGCGAAGUCACCUUGGAGUGCGAUUUCUCCGCCAAUGUGACUGGCAACUUCACAGAGCUCUUCUGGCUGCAUGAGCGAGAGGAGAGCCCACCCCGACUCAUCGCGUGGCACCACAAAUCCAGUUGCCCGGACAGGAACAGCACUGAGAGUCGCUUUCGGAGCUCGUUAGAUCUGGAAAAUCACCAGAGCCGUCUCACCAUUUCCAGGCUGCAUACGAGUGACAGCAGCUGGUACCAGUGUGAGAGCCUGGGGGAGUUUUCUGGCAAGCAGAGAGGGAGGGGAACCAACCUCACUGUCAAGGCUCCUCGCUUUCUCUGGAAGGAGCCCCAGUGCUGGGGGCCAGGGACAAAGGUGACAUCCCAAGAGGGACGGGGAGCUGUGCUGUACAUCCUGUGCUCAUGGUGCUGUGGAUGGAUUCCCUUUCAUCGCAUCAAGAUGUAUGACAACUCUUGCCAGCCUCAUGUACUCCAGCAGCUCCUGAAACCCAGCUGUGCAAGGUGCUGUACAGUUGCAUCAGGUCUAACUAGCACCUCUUAACCUGCUGGUACUGCACGUAUGGGUCUUCCUCAGCAGCAUUUGCAUUAUAGCUGCUCUGAUUAGCCCCUCUCACUGUUUUUGGUCUCUCUGUUCCCAAGGGCCAUCACGUCACAGUAAAUUGGGCAAGGUUGCGUGGGGAGAAGUGCUUUUGUUAGACCAACUGUUAAAGAAUGUGGAAAAAAUAGAUGAGCCAUUGGGUGCACGAGCCCUUGUUCAGAGCACUGCAGCGUAUCGUAGCAGAGCAAGCGCCCACUUGCUGCAUUUCAUGCUCUGGCAACACUGGUGCUUCCUCUUCAGGAGCUGCCUGUGUUGGGGACACGGUGCCAGGCUGAUCUAACAAGGCACGGCCCUGUCUUGGGUGAAGGAUAGAGUGCAUGGCUUUGUUUCCCCUGAAACUCAGAACGUGCAUGGGACAGUUGUGUCAGGGACCAUGUGCAAACAUCUUUGGUGGCUUGGAGGCCACAGGAUAGCGACUGCACCCUGGGACCAGUGCUAGGCACUGUGGAGGAGAAGGAAAAGGGCCAUUUCUGGAUGGGGAAGGGGCAGCAUCAGGAGGGGUGAGCCUGCCUGUGGAGGCAGGAGGUAUCGACUGGGUAUGGACCCUGCAAACUGCCUGCUGACAGCCCUGCUGCAAGGGACCGGCAUGUGCUCAUGGCUGGGGGAGGCAGGAAUGUACCAAGAGAAUGCACGGCUUGGAGGGAGGUCAGUGCACAACAUUGGACGGCCGUGUAAUGUGGCGUCCCUGGGCUGUUCUGGGGGACAGUGAUGGCAUUUUACAUGCAGGGAGGGUCUUUACGGUCUGUGAAUCUGACAGUCUUUUGCUUUAACCAUCUGCUGCAACUAACUUUCCGCACAAGGCACCAGCUGCGCUGCAGCCGCAUCUCCCUGCACUUCGUCUCUUGGGAACUGGCUCCUGGCAGGCAGAUCUGGCAGGGCCCGCUGUGUGUUCACCUAGGGCUGCUAUUUAUGAGGCAGCUACAGCAAAGAGGCAGCAUUCCUA